rnacentral:rRNA from 1 species
UGCCAGACUCCUACGGGAGGCAGCAGUGGGGAAUAUUGCACAAUGGGGGAAACCCUGAUGCAGCAACGCCGCGUGAAGGAAGAAGGGUUUCGGCUCGUAAACUUCUCUCGAUAGGGACGAAAGAGAUGGCGGUACCUAAAUAAGAAGCCCCGGCUAACUACGUGCCAGCAGCCGCGGUAAUACGUAGGGGGCAAGCGUUAUCCGGAUUUACUGGGUGUAAAGGGCGAGUAGGCGGGAUUGCAAGUCAGAUGUGAAAACUAUGGGCUCAACCGAUAGAGUGCAUUUGAAACUGCAGUUCUUGAGUGAUGGAGAGGCAGGCGGAAUUCCCGGUGUAGCGGUGGAAUGCGUAGAUAUCGGGAGGAACACCAGUGGCGAAGGCGGCCUGCUGGACAUUAACUGACGCUGAGGCGCGAAAGCGUGGGUAGCGAACGGGAUUAGAUACCCGCGUA